GAGUCGUAAGCCCUUAAAAGGGCCAGGAACUCUUUCUUCGGGGAGCUUGGUUCUUGAGAUGCAAGUCUGUCGACGCUCCCAGCAGAAUAAAGCCUCUUCCUUCUUUAACCUGGUGUCUGAAGGGUUUUGUCUGUGGCUUGUCCUGCUACAUUUCUUGGUUUCCUGACCGGGAAGUGAGGUGAUUAAGGGACAGUGGAGGCAGCCCCUUAGGCGGCUUAGCCUUGCCCUGCGGAGCAUCCCUGUGGGGUACUCCGGCCAGCUUGAGCAAUGUGGAUCCUGAGAGUGCUCCUGGGUAGGCAUUUGCCCCAGUGGAAUGCCUCAUCAGAGUGGUGCAUGGCAGGCCCCCACGGAGGAUCAACACAGGGGCUGAACACUGGGAAGGAACUGGCACGUGGAGUCCGGACAUCUGGAAUAUGGGAGAGCGCAGCCUGGGAUCACAAAGAAAGCAAGUCAUCUGCAACCUGCUGGAGCCUAAGACCAGAAGGCAGGUGAUCGGGUGUGGAUCAAGGAUUGGAACGUAGCCCCCUUGCGGCCAUGGUGGAAAAGACCCCAGACCAUCAUCUUGACCACUCCUACAGUUGUAAAGGUAGAGGGAAUCCCAGCCUGGAUCCACCACAGCCAUGUAAAACCUGCAGCACCUGAGACCUGGGAAGCAAGACCAAGCCCAGACAACCCUUGCAAAGUGACUCUGAAGAAGACGACAAACCCUUCUCCAGUCACACCCGGAAGCUGACUGGUCCACGCAUGGCCAAAGCAUAAGGAAACUCACCAUGAGACUCAUUUUCCUUAAAUUUUGAACUUGUACAGUAAGGACUUCAACUGACCUUCCUCAGACUGAGGACUGUACCCAGUGUAUACAUCAAGUCACUGAGGUAGGACAAAAGGUUGUUGCAGUCCUAUUAUUUUAUAGUUGUUAUGAGUGUACCGGGACUCUAAAAGGAACUUGUUUGUAUAAUGCUACUCUAUACAAGGUAUGUAGCCCAGGAAGUUACCAGCCUGAUGUGUGUUAUAACCCAUCUGAGCCCCCUAUGACUACCGUUUUUGAAAUAAGAUUGAGGACUGGCAGCUGGGGAAAAGCUGAUAUGAGUAAAUAACUGGAACAGAAGAGAAAGGAGCCCCAAAAAAAUUAUCUUAAAAUUUGAUGCCUGUGCAGCAAUCAACAGUGACCUGUAUGGAAAUAGGAUAAGAUGUGGCUCUCUAGAUUGGGAAAGGGGCUAUAUAGUAGAAAAUAAGUAUGUUUGUCAUGACUUAGGAAUGUGUAGUGAUGAAUGUAGUUACUGGUCCUGUGUCAUUUAGGCCACCUGGAAAAAAAGAUAAGAGGGACCCUGUCCACCUUCAAAAAGGAAAGAGUAACUCUUCCUGCACUAGUGGUCAUUGUAACCCAUUAGAACUACUAAUUACCAAUCUCCUUGAUCCCUGUUGGAAAACAGGAGAGUACGUAACUCUAGGAAUUGAGGGAACUGGACUGGAUCUCCGAGUAAAUAUUUUAAUCCAAGGGGAGGUCCACAGGUGCUUUCCCAAACCAGUGUUUCAGACCUUUUACGAUGAAUUGAAUCUGCCAGCACCAGAGCUUCCACACACACACACACACACACACACACACACACACACACACACACAAAGACAAAGAACUUGUUUCUCCAGUUAUUAGGAAAUGUAGCUCAUUCCCUCAAUGUUACUUCCUGUUAUGUAUGUGGGGGAACCACUAUGGGAGACCAAUGGCCUUGGGAAGCCCGGGAAUUGGUGCCUACUGAUCCAGUUCCUGACAUAAUUCCAGUCCAGAAGGCCCAAAUUAGCAACUUCUGGGUCCUGAAAACCUUGAUUAUUGGAUAAUACUGCAUAGCUAGAGAAGGAAAAGACUUCACCAUCCUUGUAGGAAGGCUCAAUUGUCUAGGACAGAAGCUGUAUAACAGCACAACAGGGACAGUCACCUGGUGGGGUCUAAACCAUACUGAAAAGAAUCCCUUCAGUAAAAUUCCUAAAUUACAGACUGCUUAGGUCCAUCCAGAAUCUCAUCGAGACCGGACGGCUCCCUCUGGACUAUACUGGAUAUGUAGACACAGAGCCUACACUCCGUCACCUGAUCAAUGGGGAAGUAGUUGUGUCAUUGGCACCAUUAAGCCAUCCCUUUUCCUAUUGCCCGUAAAAACAGGUGAGCUCCUAGGUUUCCCUGUCUAUGCCUGAGAAAAGAGGAGCAUAUCUAUAGGAAAUUGGAAAGAUGAUGAGUGGCCCCCCAAAAGGAUCAUACAGUACUAUAGGCCUGCCACACGAGCACAAGACGGCUCGUGGGGAUACCGAACCCCCAUCUACAUGCUCAACCAGAUCAUACGGUUACAGGCCAUAUUAGAAAUAAUCGCUAAUGAAACUGGCAGAGCUUUGACUCUUUUAGUCCAGCAGGAAACCCAAAUGAGAAAUGCCAUCUAUCAGAAUAGAUUGGCCUUAGACUAUUUGCUGGCAACUGAAGGAGGAGUCUGUGGAAAAUUCAACUUGACCAAUUGCUGUCUACAAAUAGAUGAUCAAGGACAAGUAGUUGAAAAUAUAGAGACAUGACAAAGCCAGCACAUGUGCCCAUGCAGAUUUGGCAUAGGUUUGAUCCUGGAUCUUUGUUUGGAAAAUGGUUUCCAGCUCUAGGAGGAUUUAAAACUCUUGUAAUAGGCAUAAUAAUAGUGUUAGGACCUGCAUGUUACUCCCCUGUAUGUUACACAUAUUUCUCCAGUUACUAAGAGGCUUCGUUACCAUCUUAGUUCAUCAAAACACCUCAGCACAAGUAUACAUGAAUCACUAUUAAUCUGUCUCACAGGAAGAUCUAGAUAGUGAGGAUGAGAAUGAGAACUCCCACUAGUGAGUGAGGUUCUCAAAGGGGGAAAUGAGGAGAGAGGCUAUUUCUCCUACUGUCCUGUCUCCAAAGAAAAGGAGAAAGUAAAAACUGAAAAAUAACAGACUGAUUGGCGCCACUGGCCAGGCCUGUAGGUUAAAGAUUAACCCCCACCCCAACCGCUUGUGCUAUCCAUAGAUCACAGACAAUGGUAUGAAGAAAUACUUGCCUUCCUCACCACCCCUACCUAGUCAUGCAGACAAUGGUAUGGAGAAAUACUUGCCUUGGUCACCACCCCAUCUAGUCGCGUACCCCAUGCUUGCUCAAUCUAUCACAACUUUUUCACGUGGACCCCUUAGAGUUGUAAGCCCUUAAAAGGGCCAGGAACCCUUUCUUCAGGGAGCUCGGUUCUUGAGAUACAAAUCUGCCAAUGCUCCCAGCCGAAUAAAGCCUCUUCCUUCUU
rnacentral:lncRNA from 1 species